AUGCACACCUGUGAUCCCCUGCAGACUCACCCAUCUCGGCGUGUCCUCAUCCGUCUCGGCGUGUCCUCACCCGUCUUGGCAUGUCCUCACCUGUGUCUCGGCGUGUCCUCACCUGUGUCUUGGCGUGUCCUCGCCCAUCUCGGCGUGUCCUCGCCCAUCUCAGCGUGUCUGUCUCGGCGUGUCCUCACCCAUCUCGGCAUGUCCUCGCCCGUCUCGGCGUGUCCUCGCCCGUCUCGGCGUGUCCUCACCUGUGUCUGGCCUGUUCUUACCCGUCUCGGCGUGUCCUCACCUGUGUCUCGGCAUGUCCUCGCCCGUCUUGGCAUGUCCUUACUUGUGUCUCGGCGUGUCCUCACCUGUGUCUCGGCGUGUCCUCGCCCGUCUCGGCGUGUCCUCACCUGUGUCUUGGCGUGUCCUCGCUCGUCUCGGCAUGUCCUCACCUGUGUCUCGGCGUGUCCCCUCCCGUCUCGGCGUGUCCUCACCUGUGUCUCGGCAUGUCCUCGCGCGUCUCGGCGCGUCCUCACCUGUGUCUUGGCGUGUCCUCACCUGUCUCGGCGUGCCCUCACCUGUCUCGGCGUCCUCUGCUGCUUCUGUCAUCCGCAGGGACACCCUGCACAUGCCCUCAAAGGAGGCAGGGAGUGGCCAGAGGAUCCACAAAUAGGCAGAUGCGCAGUCAAUGAUCCAUUUUUUCUCCCUGAACAGACUCUUGAAGUCUCAUCAGAAACAAACAUUUUGAGACACAAAUCCAGAUUUUGUUGACAGAAGAAAAUGCACUUUAACUAUAAAUGUGACUCACCAGGGAGGCAGGACGGGCAGUGUUUCUCAGAACAACUGAACAGGAGGGGAACGCUUGGAACCAGUGCCCUGAGCCCAGGUAAGGGAAGCUGGUGGGAGGGCUUCUAGUAACAGUGGAGAAGGAGGCUGGAGGCGGAGGAACAGCUGAGAAGCGCUGGAGGGGCUGGGUGGCCUCCAUCUGGGCACUCACCUGGGUGGGGGGCAGAGAGACCCAGCCCCCUGCACCAGAGCUCAAGACGCCUGCAGGAUGGCUGGACAGAUGACGAAGCUUUGCCCCAGGUGAGGGUUCCUAUCAAGCGCUGUCUCCCUGUGCCCGGGGCACCAUACAUCCAGCAGAAAGGUCACAUCCCUGAGGCAGGGCUGCCUUGUCAGUCAUCAGAACACUGCCUGGGCAUGCCCUCCAUGGUCCAGGUCACUUAUGACCCCUGAACUAGAACUGGCAGUUCUGCAGAAAAGAAGGCUGCCACCAGUACCUGAGCUCAGGUGGGUUGAAAGCGGUGAAGCAGCCCCACCUUUGGCCAGGUGUGGGCGCCAGGCCCUGGGCUCCAGAGCUGUGGACGGACCUGAGCCCCUCCGUCCACACCCCCUUCUUAAGUAAGGAACUCGGUCAUGCAGGGAACCUCCUUCUGCACCCCCCACAUGUAACCAGCAUAUUUUAGCAAAACCCCAGUAGAAGAGGAAAAAUAACCCUGUAGAGGCUCCAGAAAUUAAAUUAUCAUUGGAACUGCAAAUUUAGGCCUGGAGCUGACUGCGGAGAUGCAAGACGUAACUGCAACUCAGACUCUCCCAGUGUAAGGGACAGAGUGUCCAGGAAUCCACUGGAAAUCACAACAUGCAGGAGGAACACUCAGCUGUCCGCUCCGCUGAGAUGAUCCCGCAGCGGGGUACCUGGGGGAAAUUUACAGGAGCCGCCAUAAAGAUAAUUCAACAAC
ensembl:lincRNA